GACCACCUGCCCCUAGAGGCGCUGCAGGUGUGGCUGCUGUGUCACCUGUGAGUCAGUAGGUGGCAGAGGGGAAAGGGGCUGUGUCUACGCCCAGGGUUCUGACCUAUGAACAUCUGAAUGAUUAGUAGCCUAACAUUC
ensembl:snoRNA